rnacentral:rRNA from 1 species
AGCGAACGCUGGCGGCAGGCUUAACACAUGCCAGUCGAGCGGGCCCUUCGGGGUCAGCGGCGGACGGGUGAGUAACGCGUGGGAACGUGCCUUCUGGUCUGGAAUAACCCUGGGAAACUAGGGCUAAUACCGGAUACGCCCUUUUGGGGAAAGGCUUACUGCCGGAAGAUCGGCCCGCGUCUGAUUAGCUAGUUGGUGGGGUAACGGCCUACCAAGGCGACGAUCAGUAGCUGGUCUGAGAGGAUGAUCAGCCACACUGGGACUGAGACACGGCCCAGACUCCUACGGGAGGCAGCAGUGGGGAAUAUUGGACAAUGGGCGCAAGCCUGAUCCAGCCAUGCCGCGUGAGUGAUGAAGGCCUUAGGGUUGUAAAGCUCUUUUAUCCGGGACGAUAAUGACGGUACCGGAGGAAUAAGCCCCGGCUAACUUCGUG